AUCAUCUUUGGUAUUUUCGGUUUAUUCAGGGCUUCGUGCUAUGAUAACUCAUUUUACAUUGCUGUUGGUUCAAACGUUAUCAAUUUUCUCUUCUGGAGUACUUCAGUUUUGCUGUUGCGCCGUCAAUUUCAAAAGAUACAAUUGUUGGUGUUUGAUUCUUUAUUUGUAGUUUUUUAGUACAGACCGACGGGCUUCAAUGAAAUUUUGUUGUAAACAUAAUGUUUUGACUAAUUAACUUGCUUCUUAUCCUUCUGGCCUUUGAGCAAACUUGUGUGCUUAAAUUAUGCCCCCUCUUACCCUUUCUUUUAUAUUUCAGGAGGUCAAGAUUGCAUGAGUACUAAGGCUCUAAAUCGAGAUAAUUCUAUGCUUUUGGAUCAAAUAUAUGACAAAUUGAGAACGGGCCAGUUGGCGUGCGCUCCAAGCAUGUUUGACAAAGUGAAAACGAAUUUGGAUGCUAUUUUGGCGAAGAUGAGGGCAAUGGGCGUUAACACGGAUGAGUACAAAAUAGACUUGGAAGCUCUUGAAGAGAUCAAGCAGGGUUUGCAUCCAUCGAGUGACAAAUCACGCAAUCGAUUACCUGCCGGUUCUAACAGCAGCGAUGACAAAUUUGCACGAAGUUAACCGUUACAAUCUAUGAUGAUUGAUGAGUUGAAUCUGUGUACCUGUUUUGAGUUUUACAGAGAAAUCUUAUGUGAUGAUUGAUGAGUUGUGAUUGGAUCUGUGUACCUGUUUUGAGUUUUACAGAGAAAUCUUAUGUUUAGCAUGGCUAAAGUUCAGCCGUGUUUCUUUCUCUCCUCUCUAGCAAGGACAUUUCUAAUUGGUUCAUCACUUGUGUUCUAGGAUGUGAAAAUUCUAAUUGAAGCAAUACUUGAAU